rnacentral:sRNA from 1 species
GGUCGCGGCGUGCCAAUCGGACGUGACGGAGAUGGUGAACGCACCGUUUUUUCCGAUUUCUCGGUGCGGGUGGACGCCAGGAGAGCACCUUCACCCGUUCGCCGC